rnacentral:rRNA from 1 species
GACGAACGCUGGCGGCGUGCUUAACACAUGCCAGUCGAACGGAAAGGCCCUGCUUUUGUGGGGUGCUCGAGUGGCGAACGGGUGAGUAACACGUGAGUAACCUGCCCUUGACUUUGGGAUAACUUCAGGAAACUGGGGCUAAUACCGGAUAGGAGCUCCUGCUGCAUGGUGGGGGUUGGAAAGUUUCGGCGGUUGGGGAUGGACUCGCGGCUUAUCAGCUUGUUGGUGGGGUAGUGGCUUACCAAGGCUUUGACGGGUAGCCGGCCUGAGAGGGUGACCGGCCACAUUGGGACUGAGAUACGGCCCAGACUCCUACGGGAGGCAGCAGUGGGGAACAUUGCACAAUGGGCGGAAGCCUGAUGCAGCAACGCCGCGUGCGGGAUGACGGCCUUCGGGUUGUAAACCGCUUUCGCCUGUGACGAAGCGUGAGUGACGGUAAUGGGUAAAGAAGCACCGGCUAACUAUGUG